UACAGAGGUCCCGAGCGUUGUUCGGAUUCACUGGGCGUAAAGGGUGCGUAGGUGGCUUGACAAGUUUGAUGUGAAAGCUCAGGGCUUAACCCUGAAAUGGCAUUGAAUACUGUCGAGCUGGAGGUUUGGAGGGGGGACUGGAAUUCUUGGUGUAGCAGUGAAAUGCGUAGAUAUCAAGAGGAACACCAGUGGCGAAGGCUAGUCCCUGGACAACACCUGACACUGAGGCACGAAAGCUAGGGGAGCAAUCAGG
rnacentral:rRNA from 1 species